rnacentral:ncRNA from 1 species
UCGAUAAAAACCAAAUCCAUCGUGAGGUGGAGACGGAAAGCCACGGGUCUCUUGCGGGAGACAGCCGGGUUGCCGAGC